rnacentral:rRNA from 1 species
UGGGGAAUAUUGCACAAUGGGCGCAAGCCUGAUGCAGCCAUGCCGCGUGUGUGAAGAAGGCCUUCGGGUUGUAAAGCACUUUCAGCGAGGAGGAAGGUGGUGAACUUAAUACGUUCAUCAAUUGACGUUACUCGCAGAAGAAGCACCGGCUAACUCCGUGCCAGCAGCCGCGGUAAUACGGAGGGUGCAAGCGUUAAUCGGAAUUACUGGGCGUAAAGCGCACGCAGGCGGUUUUGUUAAGUCAGAUGUGAAAUCCCCGGGCUCAACCUGGGAACUGCAUUUGAAACUGGCAAGCUAGAGUCUCGUAGAGGGGGGUAGAAUUCCAGGUGUAGCGGUGAAAUGCGUAGAGAUCUGGAGGAAUACCGGUGGCGAAGGCGGCCCCCUGGACGAAGACUGACGCUCAGGUGCGAAAGCGUGGGGAGCAAACAGAUUAGNUACCCUGGUAGUCCACGCUGU